GUCCACGCUGUAAACGAUGUCGACUAGCCGUCGGAUCCAUUUAAGGGUUUGGUGGCGCAGCUAACGCGAUAAGUCGACCGCCUGGGGAGUACGGCCGCCCCCCCAAGGUUAAAACUCAAAGGAAUUGACGGGGGCCCGCACAAGCGGUGGAGCAUGUGGUUUAAUUCGAUGCAACGCGAAGAACCUUACCAGCCCUUGACAUCCUCGGAAUCCUGCAGAGAUGUGGGAGUGCCUUCGGGAGCCGAGAGACAGGUGCUGCAUGGCUGUCGU
rnacentral:rRNA from 1 species